rnacentral:rRNA from 1 species
CACGUAGGGGGCAAGCGUUGUUCGGAUUCAUUGGGCGUAAAGGGUGCGUAGGUGGCGCGGUAAGUCGGGUGUGAAAUCUCGGAGCUUAACUCCGAAAUUGCAUUCGAUACUGCCGUGCUCGAGGACUGGAGAGGAGACUGGAAUUCAUGGUGUAGCAGUGAAAUGCGUAGAGAUCAUGAGGAAGACCAGUGGCGAAGGCGGGUCUCUGGACAGUUCCUGACACUGAGGCACGAAGGCCAGGGGAGCAAACGGG